rnacentral:rRNA from 1 species
GACGAACGCUGGCGGCGUGCCUAACACAUGCAAGUCGAGCGGGAACCUCAGGAGGGGUAACCCUCCUGAGGGGAGAGCGGCGAACGGGCGAGUAACACGUGGGCAACCUGCCCCGGACACCGGGAUAACCCAGGGAAACCUGACCUAAUACCGGAUACUCCGGCGAGAUCGCAUGGUCGCGCCGGGAAAGCUCCGACGGUCCGGGAUGGGCCCGGGGCCUGUCAGCUUGUUGGUGGGGUAACGGCCCACCAAGGCGACGACGGGGAGCUGGUCGGAGAGGACGGCCAGCCACACUGGGACUGAGACACGGCCCAGACUCCUACGGGAGGCAGGAGUGGGGGAUCUUGCGCUAAUGCGCGAAAGCGUGACGCAGCGACGCCGCGUGGGGGAUGAAGGCCGUCGGGUUGUAAACCCCUUUCGGCAGGGACGAAGCGAAAGUGACGGUACCUGCAGAAGAAGUCCCGGCUAACUACGUGCCAGCCGCCGCGGUAAAAC